UUAAAUCAUGUAUUUAAUUUUUAAGCAAUUAAAUAUUGUUGAUUAAACAUUCUUUUCGUGCAAAAGGUCAAAUGAGUAAACUACAAUUUCAUCGAAUUGAUACUGUUUAGCAUAUCCCACAAAUUCCUCAAUUCCCAUUCUUGGGACUGAUCUAUUUCGAUAGAAUGUAGAAAAAUUCUAGGUUUUUAACAAAAAUUUUCAUCAACGAUUCAAUUUACGAAAAUAUUGCUGAAAUUGCUAAUUGUCGUUCUAGCAAAACGCCGCCGCUGAGGGAUUUUUUCUUGGUUUCGAUAUCGCGAUUGUCGAAGUCCGUAGAAGACGACGAAUUGGAUUGGAUCUGAAUUUAUCUCUGCCGGCGACGAACACCCAUCUUAUAUGCUAUGGAUUCACUGCGUCGAACUGAUAUUGUGGUACCAGAACGUUCAAGUUGAAAAUGUUAAAGAACAAGCAAGUGAACUCGACCAUGUCGUCGUAGAUUUCAUGAUGCAGGGUGAUGCUACGAUUACGUCUGCUAAUGUGUGUUGUGCUGAGGAGAAAGAACCUAUAGGAUGUUCAACAAAAUUUAUCAAACGAACCAGCCAUUGAACGUGACGACGUAGUUCAGUGUUCAGUUGUGCAGAAGGGCAAGGAUAAGGUUAUAGUAGGGGAAAUCAGUAAAAGGAACUAGGCCGAUACGAAAAUCACAAAAGGGUGAAGAAUCAAGCAACAGUUGAGAUGGAUACUGAAUCAAAAGCUGGGUUUAAGGAGCAAGAAGGGGUAAAAUAUAAAUAUGUUAGGAGGUCUAGGAAGUAGUUUGAUAUGAUUGUAUCAUAAAUAAUUAUUUUGUGCAGCAGGUAAUCGGUGAAACAUUAAGCCUAUCAUAAAUAUUGUGUUUACCCUUGUGCAUGGUUGACGAUGAUG